GAUGAACGCUAGCGGCAGGCUUAAUACAUGCAAGUCGAGGGGCAGCAGGUUUGUAGCAAUACAGAUGCUGGCGACCGGCAAACGGGUGCGGAACACGUACACAACCUUCCUUUAAGUGGGGAAUAGCCCAGAGAAAUUUGGAUUAAUACCCCGUAACAUUAUGAUGUGGCAUCACAUUAUAAUUGUAGCUCCGGCGCUUAAUGAUGGGUGUGCGG
rnacentral:rRNA from 1 species